rnacentral:rRNA from 1 species
UAUUGGACAAUGGGCGAAAGCCUGAUCCAGCAAUACCGCGUGUGUGAAGAAGGCCUUAGGGUUGUAAAGCACUUUCAAUUGGGAGGAAAACCUGCCGGUCAAUACCCGGUAGCUUGACAUUACCUUUAGAAGAAGCACCGGCUAACUCCGUGCCAGCAGCCGCGGUAAUACGGAGGGUGCGAGCGUUAAUCGGAAUUACUGGGCGUAAAGCGUGCGUAGGCGGUUCGUUAAGUCAGAUGUGAAAGCCCUGGGCUCAACCUGGGAACUGCAUUUGAAACUGGCGGACUAGAGUUUAGUAGAGGGGAGUGGAAUUUCAGGUGUAGCGGCGAAAUGCGUAGAUAUCUGAAGGAACACCAGUGGCGAAGGCGACUCCCUGGACUAGAACUGACGCUGAGUACGGA